AUUUUACACUGACUACUCCAUACCCACUGUUUAGCCUUACCUCCCAAUCGAAUAUCUAUCAGUCAAUCUGUAGGGUUCGCUUCGCUUUAUCUGAAAUCAAACGCACAAGCUUCUUGUAAGCUUUCCAAUUAAUCAUGUCGUUGAGACCCAGCGCCAGAACUGAGGUUCGCCGGAACCGCUACAAGGUCGCUGUUGACGCCGAUGAAGGUCGGCGGAGG
rnacentral:misc_RNA from 1 species